AAACCGAAUACGAUGUUUUUCGUGGGGUUUCAGCUAAUAAGUGGAAGUGUUAGUUUCCAAAUAAGAAAAUUUGAGCCGAGGAGUAAUAGGAUGAUAUCAUCGAACCUUCAAGACCAUGUUUCGAAGGUACUGUUGUGAGAAUGGGAAGGAAAAGGAUGUCUACAUACAUAUGUUACUAUUUCAAUUCGUGGUAGUGUACAUUAAUUCUCUGGUUAUUCUCCUUUUCACUCGGUAUGUUUAUCAGGUAAGUUCACCUAUGGAAAUGGAAAAAAAACUAAUCUGGUUUCAGAUGAAAAGGAAUCUUUAUAAGAAAAAAAAACGUAGGCUAAGUGGCCAAUGGAAAAUAUCAAUAGUACAGGAGAUGAGAAGAGAACUGAGAAAAGGGUUGUAAAAACCUACUUAACGUAGGUGAUAAGCUGCUUGUGUUUUGGUGUAUCUCAAUACAGCUGGUAAAGGUUUUAACUAGAAAUAUGAAGGGCCAUGCAUAGUGAAGGACAGUGAAGUUAAUUAUCGUAUUCAAUUUCCAACGGGAGCGAGCUGAAGCUUAAGUUGAAGGCAUUAUAUAUAGUCCAAUGGGGUUUUGUCUGACAGGAGAUAAUAGACAUUGAAGGAGAAUGAAAUAGAAUUUGAAGUUGGGGUAACAGAUACAUAAUGUAUUAUUGCCGAAGAAACAACAGUUAAAGACUGGUGCUUAUUUACUGAAACACUGACUAGCAGAGGGAAGCCAUAGUAAAUGGGCAAGCUCGUGUUUUCUAGUCAACAAACCUGACGGGAGUGAAAGUAUGUGUACACUAACGCAAGGAAAGUGUUUUCUACCAACGACGUGGCAGUCUCCGAUAAUUGCUGAAGAGUGAAGUGGCUAGUGUUUAAGACUAAAUGUGAAGAAUCUGCACGGACUGAGGAGAGCCGCAGAGUUGAAAGGGGCCAGAGAAUGUAAAGGAAUUUUUUUUAUAGAAAAAAAAAAAAAACUUUAAAUUAUUUUAGCGCAUGGAAAGUGUAAAAUUCAACAGAUCCCAGCAACGCUUGAUGUUACCAAGGAUUGUGUAACGAAAUUAAAAGGUAUUAUUUGGACAUUGUCUAGCAGGUCUCGGGUAUAUAGAGUACCCGAUUUUCAUGGUGUCUCUGCAAAGAGGUAUCCUUAGUUUCUAAAGAAGGAAAUUUGGUAAUUGUUUAGCAUUUAAGUGGAUUUCUUGUGCGAUGUAACUGUGGUUGACGCCAGGUUUUUUUGUUACAGGUUUAUAUAAAUGAUGAGUUGUUGUAAAGAUUGAUUUGUUCAUUGCAUAAUCACGCCAUAAUUAGUGAUAAGUAGUUUUGUGCCAUUAGCACAGUAUAAAAAUUGGUGAUGUGCAGUUGGUGAAGGUAUUCCGUACGAUGACUUUGACUUUUUUGUAACUCUAAAAAUGGGUGAUAGGCAGUUAAAGGUAUUCCAUACGAUGACGUUAGCUUUUGUGUAACUCGUCCGUAACUUUUGUAUUCGGUUUUGUAGUUUGUAUCUGUGCUUACUAAUUAUUAAAGUAUGCUUUAAGUUUUAAUGUGUUCAUUGUCUCCAUAUAAGUUUUAAUAAUUUUAUAGAUUAUAUGACUACCAUUGAAAGUGGUAGUUUUGAAAAAUUUUAGUUUGCCGACUUUCUUGUAAUAUACCAUUUACUAUCACUCUUCAAUAUAAAAUCGCCUUGGUGUUCUGUUAGUUUCUAAAUAUAAUAUUCUUUAAGAAAUUUCUGAAAUUACCAAAUGACCGUAAUUUUAGUAAUUUCUUAUGUUGCAGUCAGGUAUAACAUUAAUAACAUUAAAAUGGAAAGUGUGUUUAUCAAGCGUGAAAUAUUUUGUUAGAAAAAGUGGCAUUUAUAAUCGCAAAGACCAUGACAUUAAAAGUUUGCCAUUGUAAAGUGAUUUAUGGUAACUUUUGCUCAUUUUGUUCAUGGAUUUAAUGUUUGUAAGGCUCUGAAGUUUUAGUAUGACAUUGUAGGUUUUUUUUUAUAGCUCUUGCUUAAUCUAUUCAUGGAUUCAAUGUUUGUAAGUCUGCGCUGAAUGGGCCUAGUUGUUAGUG